rnacentral:rRNA from 1 species
AGAGUUUGAUCAUGGCUCAGAGCGAACGUUAGCGGCGGGCCUAACACAUGCAAGUCGAACGAGAAUGGGGGGGCAACCCCUCUAGUAAAGUGGCGGACGGGUGCGUAACACGUGGGUAAUCUACCUUCCGGCGGGGGACAACAAUCCGAAAGGAUUGCUAAUACCGCGUACGUCGGCGAGGUCUUCGGAUCUUGCCGGGAAAGAUGGCCUCUCCAUGGAAGCUGUCACCGGAAGAUGAGCCUGCGGCCCAUCAGCUAGUUGGUGAGGUAAUGGCUCACCAAGGCUUAGACGGGUAGCUGGUCUGAGAGGAUGAUCAGCCACACUGGGACUGCGACACGGCCCAGACUCCUACGGGAGGCAGCAGUGGGGAAUAUUGGGCAAUGGGCGAAAGCCUGACCCAGCCACGCCGCGUGAGUGAUGAAGGCCUUCGGGUCGUAAAGCUCUGUGGGGAGGGACGAACAACCCUGGAUUUAAAAGACCAGGGUCUGACGGUACCUCCUUAGCAAGCACCGGCUAACCAUGUGCCAGCAGCCGCGGUAAUACAUGGGGUGCAAACGUUGCUCGGAAUUAUUGGGCGUAAAGCGCGCGUAGGCGGUUAUCUAAGUCGGAUGUGAAAGCCCUCGGCUUAACUGAGGAAGUGCACCCGAAACUGGGUAGCUAGAGUACGAAAGAGGGUCGCGGAAUUCCCGGUGUAGAGGUGAAAUUCGUAGAUAUCGGGAGGAACACCGGUGGCGAAGGCGGCGACCUGGGUCGAUACUGACGCUGAGGCGCGAAAGCGUGGGGAGCAAACAGGAUUAGAUACCCUAGUAGUCC